rnacentral:lncRNA from 1 species
AGGGGUGAGUAUCGGUCGAUUCGGUUCGUUCGGUUUGUGCAGGUUUUUUUAUUAAAAAUAAAGAAAAACUUCAAAAACAUGUCAUGUGGUUUCGUAGUUUCUCACUUUGCCCCCUUGUAGUUUAAAAUGUAUCAAUUUGUCCCCCUGUAGGUUUUUUUUCCUCUUUUUCUUAUCAAUUUUGUUUUUUUUUUUUUAAAUCAGUGAUAAAGUUAAAAUUAAAGGAUACUAAAGUGAAUAUUUGAUAAAUCUAGAUGGGUAUAUGAAGUUUUUUGUAUAUAAUUUAAUGANUUUCCCUAAAAAUAAAUCAGACCGAAUGAAAAAUAUGAACUGAAACGAACCAAAGUAAUUUGAUCAGUUGAGUUCGAUUUAUUUCAUUUUAGUAAAUAAUUUUAUUUAAUUUAAAAUUUUAAACUACUAAAACUAAAGUGAAUUUCC